rnacentral:tRNA from 1 species
GGGCUCGUAGCUCAGCUUGGUUAGAGCAUCUGAAAAAUUGAUGAAACUCUUAAUCAGGUGGUCGCGGGUUCAAAUCCCGUCGGGCUCA